UUCCUUUCAUAAAUUUUUAUUCGCUUUAUUGGAAAAUUUUAUUGCAUUUGGUGUUAUGGGUUUUUGAUGUGGAACAAUUUGAGACAGAGUUUUAGAGGAACUAGGUUAUUUUUCUUGGAGGGGGUAAAGAUUAUAAUAAGUGUUUGUUUGAAGUUCCAAAUGAGGUUCAACCUUAAUUUGAUGAAAUUAUUGACCUUGUACCUGAGAACUUUGGAUGACCUUCCAACCCAUGAAGGAAAUCAAUCAUUUAUAGAUGAUAUUCUUGGCUUGAGUCUACCUUAUUUACAGUAUUAAUGCUCGAGUAUAUUGGAGCAUGCUGAGUUGAAAAAGUAGGUUUCAUGACUUGUUAAGAAGAGAGAGCACAAAUAUUUGUGCAUUUCCUGCUCUUCCUACCCCGAAUAAGGAUGGGACUUGGAGAGAUCUUAUGACUUAUAAGUGAUAUUUGCCAGCUCUGGUUCUCAAGGGAAGAGUGAAAGAUAGGUUUCAAAGACCAGAGAGGGUUUUUAUGAGUUGCUCUUCAUGCCAUUGGUUUGUCUAAAGCUCACGAGGGUCCUUGUGCAAUUCUUGCUUUUCUCACCCUGAAAAAGGAUGACCCUUCAAGGAUGUGCAUCGACAUUCACUUUAUCAACAAAAAUACUACAAAGUAUAGGUUAUUCAUGUUUUGGCUUGACGAAAUGCUUGGCAUGUUGAGUGGUGCAAAAAUAUUCUGCAAGGUUAAUCUAAGAUUGGAUAUCAAGGGACUAGAGCUACACGAUCAUGGGUGUGAGAGUUUGUAAUUGGGUUGUUCUUGUAUAUGAUCGGCAUCGCGAUUGUGGUGUUGGUGGUCUCUGCCGGCAGUUCCUCGUUCGUCGCCAUCAACAGCUGAUUGUUCACCGUCGUCAGAUCUGCAGCCUCGUUAGUCGUCGUCAGAUCUGAAGCUUGUUCAUCGCCAUCUCUGCCUUGUUCGUCGUCGCCGGCAGCUCCUCUUUGAUUGUCAGCAAGCUCGCCGACAUCUGCCGUCUCGAUUUGCAGAUUUGCAGAGGUGAGGUUCGUCUUUUUUGGCCGGAAGUUACAGCGGUUGCUGCUUAUUGAUUCGGCCGUUGCUUGUGAUUGAGUUGCUGUCGCCUCCGCUACGUUGUUCACCGGCGUUUGUGAAGGUGUGAAGAAGAAGACCCGUGUUUGGCUACACGGUUAUGCUAUUCCAACCCUGGGAUAGCUAUUCCAAACCUGGUUUACUAAACCUGGGAUAGCCCAGAUCCGGCCCGUUUGCCUAGAACCGGACCGUUUACCCAGAUCCGGCCCGUUUGACCAAGUUCUGCUAGAAUACAGAUUCUGCAAAAAAAAAUUUCUUCUCUGUUUUGCUGGAUUCAACAUGGCGUCCAGUCCGACUUGCUUUCUCCCGCGUCCAGUCUUCAUUCUCCCAUGACUUCAGUUAAACUCAAUGGGAAGAAUUACAUACUGUGGGCUAUAUCGGUUGCAAUUUUUCUCAAAGGCAGAGGUCUUGGUACUCAUCUGACUAAAGAUAAAAUCAAGGAAACUGAUGCUUCUUUUGCUGCAUGGGAAAAGGGAUCAUCUCUGUGAUGAUAAAUAGUAUUGAACCCCAAAUCAGUUCAACCUUACUUUAUUUGGAUACUGCCAAGGAGAUAUGGGACAGAUUGCAGCAAUUGUAUUCUGGGACAGGUAAUAUCACUCGUGUUUAUGAGCUCUGUAAGCAGUACUUCAAUCUUGAACAAGGUAAUUACAGUAUAGAAGAGUAUUAUUCCAAAGUUGUGGGAGUCUGGGAGGAGCUGAAUUUGUAUCAACCCAUUACUGUUGAUGUUCGAAGUAUGCAACAACAGCGUGGGGACUUUAAUGUUGUCCGUUUUCUUACUGGUUUGUCAUCAGCAUAUGAGUCUCUUCGUGCACAGAUUAUGGGCAGUCCCACACUUCCAUCUUUUGCUGAGGUGUUUUCUCGACUUCAGCGUGCUACACUUGCAAGUGACACCUCCAAUUUGAAUACUGGACAGAGUGGUGAGCGUUCAGCAUUGGUAGUUUCAAAGGGUGAACAUAAUGCUUAUCGUGGAGGUCGUGGGGGACGUUCCACACGUGGUGGUCGUGAUUCACGGGGAGGACGUGGCUGUGGCAGGGAAUCAAGAAAAUGUCCUCAUUGUGGUCUUUCUAAUCAUACUAUGAACUUUUGUUGAGACCUUCAUGGCAAACCAUCUAGUUAUGCAAAUCAAGUUUCCUCCUCUCCUCUGGAUCUCACAACGUAGCUGAAUCAGACACGGUCCCUGUUCCACGGGAUGAGUAUACUCAGUUUUUGUCUUAUAACCAAGCAUCUAAUUCAUCUUCCACGGCUACAUUUGCCUAGUCAGGUACUGCACACACGUGCCUAUUGUCUUCCACUCGCAGUCCUUGGAUCAUAGACACUGGAGCAUCUGAUCAUAUGACUGAAUGUUCUUCUCUUCUAUCUGAUUUUAAUUCUGUACCCCUUUCUCAAAGUGUUACUCUUGCUAAUGGUUCAUCCACUAAGGUUUCAGGAUCUCAAGACGAAGAAGAAGAUUGGUACGAGGCAUGAAGUUGGUGGCUUAUAUUAUUUUGAUUUGGAACCUUAUCCUGUGGCUCUUCAGUCUUCUCUGUCUCCAUUCCAGUGGCACUAUCGUCUUGGUCACCCGUCACUUCAAGUUUUGCAGCGUCAAGUUCCUAGUCUUAGUCAUUUAAAAUUCUUGUCAUGUGAAGUUUGUCAACUUAGUAAGCACCAUCGCGUGUCUUUCAAGUCUAGGGUUAAUAAUCGUGUCUCUAGUCCUUUUCAUUUGGUUCAUUCAGAUGUAUGGAGUCCAAUAAAGCAUUCUUCAAUAAAUAAAUUUCAUUAUUUUGUGACA